rnacentral:rRNA from 1 species
GACAGAGGAUGCAAGCGUUAUCCGGAAUGAUUGGGCGUAAAGCGUCUGUAGGUGGCUUUUUAAGUCCGCCGUCAAAUCCCAGGGCUCAACCCUGGACAGGCGGUGGAAACUACCAAGCUGGAGUACGGUAGGGGCAGAGGGAAUUUCCGGUGGAGCGGUGAAAUGCGUAGAUAUCAGGAGGAACACCUGUGGCUAAGGCGGCUCUCUAGUACGGUACUGACGCUGAGACGCGAAAGCGUGGGGAGCGAACAGG